rnacentral:rRNA from 1 species
UACGUAGGGGGCAAGCGUUGUCCGGAUUUAUUGGGCGUAAAGAGUGUGUAGGCGGCUAGGUAGGUCCGCUGUGAAAACUCGCGGCUCAACCUCGAGACGUCGGUGGAAACCAUCUGGCUAGAGUCCGGAAGAGGAGAGUGGAAUUCCCGGUGUAGCGGUGAAAUGCGCAGAUAUCGGGAAGAACACCAGUGGCGAAAGCGGCUCUCUGGGACGGUACUGACGCUGAGACGCGAAAGCGUGGGGAGCGAACAGG